GGAGGGAGUAGUUAUAGUCUGUUGCAUUCUUUCUGCAUCUGCUGUAGCUCAGUGGUAUUGUUUUGCCCUAUAUAUAUUACCUGCAAUUUAUGUUCAGCUUAUGAAAUUGUCGUAUAAAGAUUACGUUAUUGCAAGAAAGCUGAUUUUGAAAAUGUCAAGUGUCAGCUAUGCUCAGUUUCUUCGGGGUAUAAGUAAGAGCACCUUAUUGCAAGAAAAUUCUGCGUUUCUUAGUGUUUUUUUAAGAUUAGAAUUGCACAAGUUACAUCCAGAAGCAUUGCACGAAAGGGUAGAAUUUACACAAGAUUAACACCCUGCUUUGAUGGAGAGUUGGAGACUAACACGCUGCUUUUGUGAUAGAACAUCAGGGAGGAUUUGCGUUUUUGGCAAAAAGGUGGGGAACCUGGGGCGGGCAUGUAACUGUGAAGUAGUCGUGCUCGGCGUGAAUGCAUUUAUGUUGACUGCUCGUGUAAAGUUGGGAAUCGAAUGCAUUUGAUGUCAUCCGUUUGCAGAAAGAAUGUGUUUUCAGAUUGUAAAAAAAAAGAAGCAGGGGUCAUUGCUUAGAAUGAUAUAGCAAGUCUGCUACUUUGUCAAUUGGCAUGAACUGUGUAAUCUAUUGUCGUUUCAGAACAUUCAACAACUGAUCCUAUUUUCAUUAUCUAAU
rnacentral:lncRNA from 1 species